rnacentral:rRNA from 1 species
UACGAAGGGGGCUAGCGUUGCUCGGAAUCACUGGGCGUAAAGCGCACGUAGGCGGACUCUUAAGUCGGUGGUGAAAUCCUGGAGCUCAACUCCAGAACUGCCUUCGAUACUGAGAGUCUCGAGUCCGGGAGAGGUGAGUGGAACUGCGAGUGUAGAGGUGAAAUUCGUAGAUAUUCGCAAGAACACCAGUGGCGAAGGCGGCUCACUGGCCGGUACUGACGCUGAGGUGCGAAAGCGUGGGGAGCAAACAGG